GUCACGAGCCAUACCGCCUGCAGGUCAGACUAGGUGAUCUAUCUGAAGCUAAGCAGGUUUGGACCUGGCCAGUACUUGGAUGGGAGACCAACUAGGAAAGCUGGGCUGCUGUUGAAA
rnacentral:rRNA from 1 species